rnacentral:piRNA from 1 species
UGCUUAUUCCUUCAAUUAAGUCCUGCCGAGU